UACGAAGGGGGCGAGCGUUGUUCGGAAUUACUGGGCGUAAAGGGCGCGCAGGCGGCUCUGAAAGUCAGAUGUGAAAGCCCCGGGCUUAACCUGGGAAUUGCAUUUGAUACUCUGGAGCUUGAGUACGGGAGAGGAGAGUGGAAUUCCCAGUGUAGAGGUGAAAUUCGUAGAUAUUGGGAAGAACACCGGUGGCGAAGGCGGCUCUCUGGACCGACACUGACGCUGAGGCGCGAAAGCGUGGGGAGCAAACAGG
rnacentral:rRNA from 1 species